rnacentral:rRNA from 1 species
GGAGAGGGCAAGGCUGGUGCCAGCCGCCGCGGUAACACCAGCUCUUCAAGUGGUUGGGAGUUUUAUUGGGCUUAAAGCGUCCGUAGCCUGUUUGAUAAGUUCCUGGUUAAAUCCGGCAGCUUAACUGUUGGACUGCUAGGAAUACUGUCUUACUAGAGGGCGGGAAAGGUCUGGGGUACUCCGGGGGGAGCGGUGAAAUGUGAUAAUCCUCGGGGGACCACCAGUGGCGAAGGCGCCAGACUGGAACGCGCCUGACGGUGAGGGACGAAAGGUAGGGGAACGAACGGGAUUAGAUACCCCGGUAGUCCUACCCGUAAACGAUGCGCUCUAGAUG